rnacentral:rRNA from 1 species
ANUGCGCNCCUUNCAUGCAAGUCGAACGCGAAAGCGGGGCAACCCGCAAGUAGAGUGGCGAACGGGUGAGUAAUACAUCGGAACAUUUCCAGUAGCGGGGGAUAACCUGUCGAAAGAUAGGCUAAUACCGCAUACGAUCCACGGAUGAAAGCGGGGGACCGCAAGGCCUCGCACUAUUGGAGUGGCCGAUGUCGGAUUAGCUAGUUGGUGGGGUAAAAGCCUACCAAGGCGACGAUCCGUAGCUGGUCUGAGAGGACGAUCAGCCACACUGGAACUGAGACACGGUCCAGACUCCUACGGGAGGCAGCAGUGGGGAAUUUUGGACAAUGGGCGCAAGCCUGAUCCAGCCAUGCCGCGUGAGUGAAGAAGGCCUUCGGGUUGUAAAGCUCUUUCGGUGGAGACGAAACGGUCCGUGUUAAUAACACGGACUACUGACGGUACCCACAGAAGAAGCACCGGCUAACUACGUGCCAGAAGCCGCGGUAAUACGUAGGGUGCAGGCGUUAAUCGGAAUUACUGGGCGUAAAGCGUGCGCAGGCGGUCUGUUAAGACAGGUGUGAAAUCCCCGAGCUCAACUUGGGAAUUGCGCUUGUUACUGGCAGGCUAGAGUGUGGCAGAGGGGGGUGGAAUUCCACGUGUAGCAGUGAAAUGCGUAGAUAUGUGGAGGAACACCGAUGGCGAAGGCAGCCCCCUGGGUCAACACUGACGCUCAGGCACGAAAGCGUGGGGAGCAAACAGGAUUAGAUACCCUGGUAGUCCACGCCCUAAACUAUGUCAACUAGUUGUCGGGGAAGAAAUUCCUUGGUAACGAAGCUAACGCGUGAAGUUGACCGCCUGGGGGAGUACGGUC